GAUGAACGCUGGCGGCGUGCCUAAUACACGCAAGUCGAGCGAACAGAUAAGGAGCUUGCUCCUUUGACGUUAGCGGCGGACGGGUGAGUAACACGUGGAUAGCCUACCUAUAAGACUGGGAUAACUUCGGGAAACCGGAGCUAAUACCGGAUAACAUAUUGAACCGCAUGGUUCAAUAGUGAAAGGCGGCUUUGCUGUCACUUAUAGAUGGAUCCGCGCCGUAUUAGCUAGUUGGUAAGGUAACGGCUUACCAAGGCAACGAUACGUAGCCGACCUGAGAGGGUGAUCGGCCACACUGGAACUGAGACACGGUCCAGACUCCUACGGGAGGCAGCAGUAGGGAAUCUUCCGCAAUGGGCGAAAGCCUGACGGAGCAACGCCGCGUGAGUGAUGAAGGUCUUCGGAUCGUAAAACUCUGUUAUCAGGGAAGAACAAAUGUGUAAGUAACUGUGCACAUCUUGACGGUACCUGAUCAGAAAGCCACGGCUAACUACGUGCCAGCCGCCGCAGUAA
rnacentral:rRNA from 1 species